AGCCAAACUCUAGCCUAACCAGUCAUUUACCCGUUAACUAAAAAUUACCCCCACCCACAAACUAAAACAUUCUCUUUAGCUUAGUAUAGGUGAUAGAAAAGCUCCUCCAGUGCAAUAGAGAUUCUGUACCGUAAGGGAAAGAUGAAAUAAUAAUGAAACCCCAAGCAACACACAGCAAAGAUAAGCCCUUGUACCUCUUGCAUCAUGGUUUAGCAAGAAUAACCAAGCAAAACGAAUUUAAGCUUGCCCUCCCGAAACCCAAGCGAGCUACUUGUAGGCAGCUACCCCCGAGCGAACCCGUCUCUGUAGCAAAAGAGUGGGACGACCUACUAGUAGAGGUGAAAAGCCAACCGAGCUGGGUGAUAGCUGGUUGCCUGUAAAACGAAUCUAAGUUCACCCUUAAUUCCCCUCCAAGGACCCUAACUAACCCUCGCACGUAGCGAAUUAAGAGUAAUUUAAAGGAGGAACAGCUCCUUUAAAAUAAGGAUACAACCUCUUACAGCGGAUAAUAUAACCCAUCUUCCCUAGUCUGUUGGCCUUUAAGCAGCCACCAACAAAGAGUGCGUCAAAGCUCCCCCCCAAAGAUAUAAGAACAACAUGACUCCCUCCCCACUAACAGGCUAACCUAUCACAAUAGGAGAAUCAAUGCUAGAAUGAGUAACCAGGACCAUCUCCUCUCAAGCGCAAACUUACAUCACCACAUUAUUAACAGCACCUAAUUAAUACCACAACCUCAACAAGCCUACACAUUAAAACCACCCUGUUAACCCAACACAGGAGCGCCCACUAGAAAGACUAAAAUCCGUAAAAGGAACUAGGCAAACCUAAGACCCGACUGUUUACCAAAAACAUAGCCUUCAGCAAACCGAGUAUUGAAGGUGAUGCCUGCCCAGUGACCCUCGGUUCAACGGCCGCGGUAUCCUAACCGUGCGAAGGUAGCGCAAUCAAUUGUCCCAUAAAUCGGGACUUGUAUGAAUGGCUAAACGAGGCCUUAACUGUCUCUUACAGAUAGUCAGUGAAAUUGAUCUCCCUGUGCAAAAGCAGGGAUAAGCACAUAAGACGAGAAGACCCUGUGGAACUUAAAAAUCAGCAGCCACUACACACAAAUACACACCUACCAGGUUUACAACUAAAACUUAUGCUGGCCUGCAUUUUUCGGUUGGGGCGACCUUGGAGAAAAGAAAAACCUCCAAAAAUAAGAACACAUCCCUUAACCAAGAGCAACCUCUCAACGUACUAAUAGUAACCAGAUCCAAUAGAAAUUGAUCAAUGGACUAAGCUACCCCAGGGAUAACAGCGCAAUCUCUCCUAAGAGCCCCUAUCGACGGAGAGGUUUACGACCUCGAUGUUGGAUCAGGACAUCCUAAUGGUGCAGUCGCUAUUAAGGGUUCGUUUGUUCAACGAUUAACAGUCCUACGUGAUCUGAGUUCAGACCGGAGCAAUCCAGGUCGGUUUCUAUCUAUGUAAUACUUUCCCUAGUACGAAAGGACCGAGAAAGUAAGGCCAAUGCUAUAGGUAUGCCUUCUCCCUAAGUAAUGAAUUCAACUAAAUUAUAAAAGGAAUCCCCACACAAACUCCAAACCCUAGAAAAGGGCC
rnacentral:rRNA from 1 species